AAUAGCCUAACGGCUGAACCAGCAAUUUGGAGGAAUGUAAAGGAGAAGAAAACUUUUUUUCUUUUCUAGUGGUUUAUCCGCAUAAAGUUCUAGAUAAAAAUUGAUAAUGACAACUUUUCAUCUAUAAGUCUUGACAAAAUCACGUGCCAGCAGUCGCGGCAAUACGGGAAAGACGAGUGUUAUUCAUCUUUAGUAGGUUUAAAGGGUACCUAGACAGUUUAUUUAACCUGUUUGAUAAAGGAUAAAAAUAAACUAGAGUUUCAUAUAAGAGGUAUAUCAGUACUAGCGGAGUAGAGAUAAAAUUCUCUGAUACUGUAGGGCACUGGUAAAGGCGAAGGCAACCCUUUAUGUAAAAACUGACGUUGAGGGACGAAGGCUUGGGUAACAAACAGGAUUAGAUACCCUAAUAGUCCAGGCAGAGAAUGAUGAAUGCCAUGGGUUAAAAGUAAUUUGAUCUAUAAAUGAAAGUGUAAGCAUUCCACCUCAAGAGUAAUGUGGCAACGCAGGAACUGAAAUCAUUAGACCGUUUCUGGAACCAGUAGUGAAGUAUGUUGUUUAAUUCGAUGAUCCGCGAAGAACCUUACCACAAUUUGGAUAUUAUACUAAUUUUUUAUUAAACUAAAAUUAGUUUAAAUAUUGAUUACUUAUAAUACAGGUGCUGCACGGCUGUCUUUAGUUAAUGUCGUGAGACGCAGGUUAGAUCCAGAAAUUAACGUAAGCCCUUGCACUUUUUAUAUAUGGUGUAGUUCCCCGCUAGAUUGGAAAGAUAACAGGGAUCAAGACAAGUACUCGUGGCCCUAAUAU
rnacentral:rRNA from 1 species